rnacentral:misc_RNA from 1 species
AAGUCGUAACAAGGUUUCCGUAGGUGAACCUGCGGAAGGAUCAUUAUUGAAUGUCCUUGAUGGGUUGUCGCUGGCCCUUGUAGGCAUGUGCACGCCUGUCUUGACUCCAUUCAUCCACCUGUGCAUCAUUUGUAGUCUUUUUGGGGGCUGAGGCAGUGAUAGUCAGUUGAGAGACUGGAUCUGAGGAUUGCGCAGUGCGCUUAGUAUGAGCUCUCCUCUUGGCCAUGAAAUCUCCCUCGAGGGACUAUGUCUUUUAACCACAAACUAGUAGUAUGCAGAAUGCAAUCAAAUGGGCUAUUGUGCCUAUAAAAACUUUUAUACAACUUUCAGCAACGGAUCUCUUGGCUCUC